AAUCCCGGGUGGUGGAGUUACUGGUUCAGUUUCUGGUGGUGUAACCCCGGGUGGUUGAAUUUCUAGUGGCGUAAUCUCGGGUGGUGUAGUCCCGGGCGGUGGAGCUUUCGUUGGUGAAAUCUCAGGUUCUGGUGUGGGUGGUGUAAUCUCGGGUGGUGGGAUAUUUGGUGGAAAUACUGGUGGUGGACAAACACAUGGUGGACAAACAAAUGGUGGUGGGGGUGGAGGACGGCGUGGAGGUGGAGGACGACGUGGAGGUGGAGGACGGCGUGGAGCCGGAGGCUGACGGGGAGGAGACCUACCCUGGGCUUCCGUUUCGCUGAGGAAGAAGAUGCUGAUCAGUGCCAGUACAAAAACUAUGGUUUUAGUUGAACAAUGUGGAGCCAUUAUGUCCUCAGAAAAGGAUUAUUGUACGGAAACUGGUGGGUUAAAGUGUAGUGAGGCUGUGGGUAUUUAUAGCAGCUUUUGGAGGGUCAGAUACGUUAGCAUUCAGCCAUUUAUUCUAUUGCCAAACCCUAUAUAUUCUUCUGAUUAAGACACAUAAGUGGUGGCUUCAGUUCAAGUAAUUUUAUUAUAAGAAAAAAGGCUGAGUUAAGUUGCACUGCAGUAGUCUGUUUUUACACUAAGAGUACAGGCGGCAGUAACCAGUUUCCCGAAACCAUGUAUAAUCGGUCGGACACUCGAACUGACCUUAAUUAAAGAUUCAGGUCUUAAACAACUCACCUUUCGUAACUUAUCGUCAUAUUUUAUUUACGUUCUAUGUUUAGACUUCCUGUACAUACACCUUUAUGUGAUAUAAGAUGAUUUCUUUGUUGUUUUCCCAUUUUAGAAAAAGGGUAUAGAGAAAUAUGUGAAAUCCCUUACCAAGAUUCGUCGUAAUCUGGAUAUAUUGGGUCACAUGCAAUUAACAAACGUCCAAAAGUGGAUUGCAAGAAAAUCUUUGACAAAGUUUUGGCGUUUUGUAUAUUGAAUUGGAUUGAAGUCCAGGCUUUUUCUAUCUACUGAUAACUUCUGAGACGGAAGUGAGCAUUAAUUUUAAGAAAAUUGACAGUCUAGCUACAGAUUUAUAACGUUCAAAUCGCAAAGUUUGUUAUCAGUUAAGUAAUAUGUCGAUUUUGAUACUUGGGUAAAUGGGCAUGCUCCAUGAGUUUCAUUUUCCUAUAUUUUUCAUAUAGAUGGGGUUUAGGGUUAGGAAUGUGAAUAUGCUAAGUCUCUACAGUUAGGCAACACAUAGUUGAUCAUUUAGGUUGUCCAAACACGUAAACCUACAUAAUUAUUAGAUCGACGAAUUCUGGUGGUGUAACCCCGGGUGGUGGAAUUUUUGGAUUAAUAUCUAUUGGUGAAAUCUCGGGUUGUGGAAUUUCUGGUAGGGGAUUUAUUGGUUCAGUUUCUGGUGGUGUAAUCCCGGGUUGUGGAAUUUUUGGAUUAAUAUCUAUUGGUGAAAUCUCGGGUUGUGGAAUCUCUGGUAGGGGAUUUAUUGGUUCAGUUUCUGGUGGUGUAAUCCCGGGUGGUGGAAUUUUUGGAUUAAUAUCUAUUGGUGAAAUUUCGGGUUGUGGAAUCUCUGGUAGGGGAUUUAUUGGUUCAGUUUCUGGUGGUGUAAUCCCGGGUGGUGGAGUUACUGGUUCAGUUUCUGGUGGUGUAACCCCGGGUGGUUGAAUUUCUAGUGGCGUAAUCUCGGGUGGUGUAGUCCCGGGCGGUGGAGCUUUCGUUGGUGAAAUCUCAGGUUCUGGUGUGGGUGGUGUAAUCUCGGGUGGUGGGAUAUUUGGUGGAAAUACUGGUGGUGGACAAACACAUGGUGGACAAACAAAUGGUGGUGGGGGUGGAGGACGGCGUGGAGGUGGAGGACGACGUGGAGGUGGAGGACGGCGUGGAGCCGGAGGCUGACGGGGAGGAGACCUACCCUGGGCUUCCGUUUCGCUGAGGAAGAAGAUGCUGAUCAGUGCCAGUACAAAAACUAUGGUU
rnacentral:lncRNA from 1 species